ensembl:ncRNA K05G3.6 ncRNA
AAGUUCUGGAAUGCCGAAGAAUGUAUACGAAAACUGAUAAUAAGAGGCUCCCAACAGUUGGUCUAAUUUGAUGAAUUAGUUAGCUGGUGUAGAAGUGAAAAAGCAUGAAGCCUACACAACAACAAGUUGAUAAUAUUGAAGAGCCCAGUCUUGAGCACAAUAACGAGAAACUGGGAGAAAAUGAAGAAAAAAGAACUCCUUUCUCUC